rnacentral:rRNA from 1 species
UACGAAGGGGGCUAGCGUUGUUCGGAAUUACUGGGCGUAAAGCGCACGUAGGCGGACUAUUAAGUCAGGGGUGAAAUCCCGGGGCUCAACCCCGGAACUGCCUUUGAUACUGGUAGUCUCGAGUCCGGAAGAGGUGAGUGGAAUUCCGAGUGUAGAGGUGAAAUUCGUAGAUAUUCGGAGGAACACCAGUGGCGAAGGCGAGUCUCUGGGAUGAUGCUGACGCUGAGGCGCGAAAGCCAGGGGAGCAAACGGG